GUUUAAUUUAUUGCUGUUCAUAUUUGAACAAUAAAUUUGGAUAACAUGGAAAUUAACAAUGAGUUAGAAGACAGUGUUUCACUUACUUUUUCUUGCUUUAAAUACGCACUGGGCAGGUUAUCUCAUAAAGGUUUCACCAUUUGGCAACAUUACCGAAAUUUACGACGAACAACCGUUUAUCCCACUGUAUAAUUUUAAUAAAUAUUUACUUGGAAACUAUAUGUGAUUAGCAUUUCCGACGCAUUGCGACCAGGCCUUGUUCGACGUUUUUGGAUUGCAAUUUGGAAGGGGAAAUUGGUCAGUUAAGGCUCCGUCACACUAUUGCGUAUGAGAGAAACGUAUGAGAAGCGUAUGAAAAUUAACGAAAUAAUUUUCAUACGCACAAAAAUCCUUUGAAAUGCCAGCGUAUGAGUACCGUACACCUGGCGUAACUCUAGCGUAUUUAGCGUGUGCCUAGAGUAUGCUUAUCGUAUAAAGCAUACGUCCAGUACGCACAAAAUUUUUGAACAUGCUUAAAAGAAAAUUUUCUGCCUCGCCGUAUGCCAGCGUAUGCUACCGUACGCGACCAUGCUUGAAACGUAUACAACCUAUGCCUAACGUACCCCUAGCGUAUGUCAGCGUAUACCGGCGUAUAUGAGUGAUAUUUUUUCAUAUACGCUGGCAUACGCUAGUACGAUACGCAAUAGUGUGACAGGGCCUUAACGUACUAGUUAAAUACUGAAUAUGGAAAUGUUAAAGCACAGUAAUACUGUUUCUAAGUACUCACUUAUUCCGUUAUGGCUAACUUCUUUUCUUUCGCAAUUUGGCCCCCAAAAAUUGCGGACAAGGCCUGGCGCAUCGACAUGAGCAACAUUACAAAAGCAACUGCUCGUGCAUGUCCUACUUCAUCCGAUAUUUAUAGUCCAGUCAAAUCACUUAGUACAUGGUCCUGAUCAAAGUAAUCGCAAUAGAUAUUCUUCAGUGGUAAAGUGUGAGAAAAGGUGUUCUGAUUAACAUAUUAAAAAUCCAAAAAAAUCCCUUCAGUGGAACAUGGUAAAAAUCGAGUUUUUCUUACUUCUGCCAACGGAAUAUACCAUUGCGGACAAAAUGUUGAAAUUUUGAAAUUAUUUUUUUUGCAAAUAUUACCUACAUCACUGCAAUGCUUAGAAAAAAAUAAAUAUAAAUCAACUACAAUAUAACAACUUUAAGUUAUAACGGUUACCUUGCUUUUUCCUAUCCAGCCGAAGUUAUACAAGAUUUAAAAUGCCAUAAAUUUG